rnacentral:lncRNA from 12 species
GGUCUCUUUUAAAUUAAGAAGCCAGUGAAGGAAGUGGCAGCUGAAAGGAAUACAGGACGGUUGUUCACCAUCUUACCCCACAGACAGGAUUGGGGAGAGGAGGUGGGAAACCUAUCCCCUGAUGGCACAGCAGAGACAGAGGUAAGGAGAAGGGGAUCCAGCUCAUUUAUUUCCCUUUCAUUAAGCCCCUGCAAAAAUAAAGACUAAGGAUUUAAUUGCACUGUUUGCUUCUAUCUCUAGAAAAGCUGAAUUAGUAAUUGCAUUAACUUGUUACUAAGCUUCGCUCUUAUGGGGUAAUAUAAUUUUAACUACGGCUUCCUAAUUAUAGGGUUUUCAUUAUUCUGAAAAUCCCAUUCAGCAUGUGUUCCAUUUUCACUUUUAUGAAGUGCUUUGUGGGAAAAUGGGGGCCGUGUCUUUGCAAACCCAAGCUGAGCUGAAGCUGUGUCUUGCCCCAAGCUAUUACCUCCUGUGAAAAGCAGGGCGCCACUGUGAUUUUUAUCUUCCUUUGAUAAAUAAUGCUGUUGGCAAAGACCAUAUGCUCUGUCUCAUGCUGGAGUUCUGUGGCACUGCACAACAGAGCAUAAUCCCAUCAAGUUGGUGAU